rnacentral:rRNA from 1 species
AUUGAACGCUGGCGGCAGGCCUAACACAUGCAAGUCGAACGAGUGGCGGACGGGUGAGUAAUGUCUGGGAAACUGCCUGAUGGAGGGGGAUAACUACUGGAAACCGUAGCUAAUACCGCCUACCCUCGGUUGUGCCCAUCUGGGAUUAGCUAGUUGGGGGGGUAAAGGCUCACCUAGGCGACGUCCCCUAGCUGGUCUGAGAGGAUGACCAGCCACACUGGAACUGAGACACGGACAAGACUCCUCCGGGAGGAAGAAGUGGGGAAUAUUGGAAAAUGGGCACAAGCCUGAUGAAGCAAUGCCGCGUGGAUGAAGAAGGCCUUCGGGUUGUAAAGCACUUUAAGUUGGAAGGCGUUACCAGCAGAAUAAGCACCGGCUAACUUCGUGCCAGCAGCCGCGGUAAUAC